rnacentral:rRNA from 1 species
GCAGGACGAAAGCUGACGGUUCACGCCGCGUGAGUGAUGAAGGUUUUCGGAUCGUAAAGCUCUGUUGUUAGGGAAGAACAAGUACCGUUCGAAUAGGGCGGUACCUUGACGGUACCUAACCAGAAAGCCACGGCUAACUACGUGCCAGCAGCCGCGGUAAUACGUAGGUGGCAAGCGUUGUCCGGAAUUAUUGGGCGUAAAGGGCUCGCAGGCGGUUUCUUAAGUCUGAUGUGAAAGCCCCCGGCUCAACCGGGGAGGGUCAUUGGAAACUGGGGAACUUGAGUGCAGAAGAGGAGAGUGGAAUUCCACGUGUAGCGGUGAAAUGCGUAGAGAUGUGGAGGAACACCAGUGGCGAAGGCGACUCUCUGGUCUGUAACUGACGCUGAGGAGCGAAAGCGUGGGGAGCGAACAGGAUUAGAUACCCUGGUAGUCCACGCCGUAAACGAUGAGUGCUAAGUGUUAGGGGGUUUCCGACCCUUAGUGCUGCAGCUACCGCAUUAAGCACUCCGCCUGGGGAGUCCGGUCGCAAGACUGCACCUCAAAGGACUUGACGGGGGC